rnacentral:rRNA from 1 species
AGCGCACGCAGGCGGUCUGUCAAGUCUGAUGUGAAAUCCCCCGGCUCAACCUGGGAACUGCAUUCGAAACUGGCAGGCUAGAGUCUUGUAGAGGGGGGUAGAAUUCCAGGUGUAGCGGUGAAAUGCGUAGAGAUCUGGAGGAAUACCGGUGGCGAAGGCGGCCCCCUGGACUGAGACUGACGCUCAGGUGCGAAAGCGUGGGGAGCAAACAGGAUUAGAUACCCUGGUAGUCCACGCCGUAAACGAUGUCUGCUUGGAGGUUGUGCCCUUGAGGCGUGGCUUCCGGAGCUUACGCGUUAAGUCAACCGCCUGGGGAGUACCGCCGCCAGGAUAGAACUCCAAUGAAUUGACGGGGGCCCGCACAAGCGGUGGAACAUGGGGUUUAAUUCCAUGCAACCCCAAAAACCUUACCUACUCUUGACCUCCAGAGGACUUAUCAGAAAUGCUUUGGUGCCUUCUCGAACUCUGAAACAGGUGCUGCAUGGCUGUCGUCAGCUCGUGUUGUGAAAUGUUGGGUUAAGUCCCGCAACGAGCGCAACCCUUAUCCUUUGUUGCC